rnacentral:lncRNA from 1 species
AUUUGAUAUUUUCUGGAAAUAAUUAUAUUAUGAAUUUUUCCAUCUGCAAAUAAUUAAUGAACUAAGUUUAAACUUAGGCGUUAAUAUAAUUAUCAAGAAUUUGGAUUAAUGAAGGCUUUGCCCUAUACUGAGUAUUUUCUAUCUCUGUUGAUUGUGUUUGAGAUUUUAUAUACAUUGUGUAGAGCCUUAUGCUAUUUUUGAGAAAUUUAUUGAUUUUACUAUAUCAUUGGAAUUGGUUGUGGUUGUUGGACAAUUUGUGAUAGGAAUUGAUUGUGUUGUGUUGUCGUGAUAAUAUCCCGUAUAAAUUGUUGUGUGAUUUGAGUUAUUAUUAUGAGUAUAUAAGAGUAAAAUUUCACUGUUGAUAUUAUGUGGGUACAAGGGUGACAUUUCACCGUGGUUAUGUGUGUUGAGAUAUUGUCUGGACGGAGCGAUAAGGGUGGCUAUUAUACGGAGCGAUAAGGGUGGUUGAAGGAGCUAUAAGGGUGACUAUUGAUAUUGUCAGGGCGGAGGGAUAAGAGAGGCUAUUAUAUGAGUGAUAAUGGUGGCUAUAUGAGAGAUAAGGGUGACCAUUGUUAGGGCGAUGGGAUAAGAGAGGCUAUUAUAGGAGUUAUAAGGGUAGCUAUAUGAGAGAUAAAGGUGACCAUUGUCAGAGCUGAUACGUGAUGAUGUGGAGUUAUUGUGUUGGUAAUUUUUAUGUGACGAUGUGGGGUUAUUGCGUUGGUAAUUUUCAUGUGAUAUUGUGAUUUUUCUUGUGUUUAUUUUUAUAUCUUGUGCAAUUUGUCUUGUUGUUGGUAAAUUGAUAAUAGUUUGAUAUAUGUUGAAAUUGGGAGCCUGUGGUUAUUGCCAGACAGAUUAUGAAAUGAAAUGUGGGCACGAGGUGUCGUGAGUAAAUAAUGAUGAUAUUAGCACGUGAACUGUUUGUGCAGUUGUGAUAUGAAAUGGGGGUACGAGGUGCCGUGAGUAAAUGAUGAUGAUAUUAGCACAUGAGUUGUCCGUGCGGUUGUGAUAGAGAAAUUGGCACAAUGUGCCGUGAAAAUAUGAAAGUGGACUGAGACCCGUAUUUUUAUGAUUUUGAAAUAAGGUGUCACAUGGUGAUUUUUAUUCGAAAGAUAUUUAUUUGAAAGAGUUAUAUUUGAAAGAUAUUUAUUUGAAGGGAGUAUAUUCGAAAUAUAUUUAUUAGAGAGUAUUAUAUCCUGAAGAUUAUUAUUUGAAAAAAAUAUAUAGGCGAAAGAUUUAUAUUUGAAGGACUUGAUUAAUUGGUUGUACUUGUAUUCAUUAUUUAUUGUGCAAUAUUUAUGGUAUUCUUGUUGCCCUGUUAUGUAUACCACUGGUUGAUUAUUGUUACCAUCAUUGUUAUUUGUUUCAUAUUAUUUUUGUAUACUAUAUUGCA